rnacentral:rRNA from 1 species
UACAGAGGCCCCAAGCAUUACCCGGAAUCACUGGGCGUAAAGGGUGCGUAGGCGGUUUGGUAAGUCUGAUGUGAAAUCUAUGGGCUCAACUCAUAGUCUGCAUCGGAAACUGCCGGGCUUGAGUGUGGGAGAGGUGAGUGGAAUUCCUGGUGUAGCGGUGAAAUGCGUAGAUAUCAGGAGGAACACCUGUGGCGAAAGCGGCUCACUGGACCAUAACUGACGCUGAUGCACGAAAGCUAGGGGAGCAAACAGG